rnacentral:rRNA from 1 species
UUUGCUAAUGACGGUACCUGAAGAAUAAGCACCGGCUAACUACGUGCCAGCAGCCGCGGUAAUACGUAGGGUGCAAGCGUUAAUCGGAAUUACUGGGCGUAAAGCGUGCGCAGGCGGUUUUGUAAGACUGUCGUGAAAUCCCCGGGCUCAACCUGGGAAUGGCGAUGGUGACUGCAAGGCUAGAGUUUGGCAGAGGGGGGUAGAAUUCCACGUGUAGCAGUGAAAUGCGUAGAUAUGUGGAGGAACACCGAUGGCGAAGGCAGCCCCCUGGGUCAAAACUGACGCUCAUGCACGAAAGCGUGGGGAGCAAACAGGAUUAGAUACCCUGGUAGUCCACGCCCUAAACGAUGUCUACUAGUUGUCGGGUCUUAAUUGACUUGGUAACGCAGCUAACGCGUGAAGUAGACCGCCUGGGGAGUACGGUCGCAAGAUUAAAACUCAAAGGAAUUGACGGGGACCCGCACAAGCGGUGGAUGAUGUGGAUUAAUUCGAUGCAACGCGAAAAACCUUACCUACCCUUGACAUGGCAGGAAUCC